AGAGUUUGAUCCUGGCUCAGAUUGAACGCUGGCGGCAUGGCUAAAACAUGCAAGUCGAACGCGAAAGGGGGCAACCCCGAGUAGAGUGGCGAAAGGGCGAGUAAUGCGUUUCUAACGUGCCCCGAGGUGAGGGAUAGCUCUCCGAAAGGAGAAUUAAUACCUCAUAACCCUGCGAGACUGUAUGGUUUUGCAGGCAAAGGCUUGCUGCCUCGGGAGCGGGGAACGUCCUAUCAGAUAGUUGGUGAGGUAACGGCUCACCAAGUCUAAGACGGGUAGCGGGUGUGAGAGCACGGCCCGCCGCAUCGGGACUGAGACACUGCCCGGACUCCUACGGGAGGCUGCAGUAACGAAUAUUCCCCAAUGGCCGCAAGGCUGAGGGAGCGAUGCCGCGUGGAGGAUGAAGCCCCUCGGGGUGUAAACUCCUGUCAGGGUUUAGAAAAACAAUGAUCAAACCCAGAGGAAGAGGCGACUAACUCUGUGCCAGCAGUCGCGGUAAUACAGAGGCCUCGAGCGUUAAUCGGAAUCACUGGGCUUAAAGGGUGCGUAGGCGGCGCUGCAAGUGCCUUGUGAAAUCCCAUCGCUUAACGAUGGAACUGCUCGGUAGACUGCAGUGCUUGAGGUUGGUAGGGGCUGCCGGAACUCUAGGUGGAGCGGUGAAAUGCGUAGAUAUCUAGAGGAACGCCCAAGGCGAAGGCAGGCAGCUGGGCCAAUUCUGACGCUGAGGCACGAAAGCGUGGGGAGCAAACGGGAUUAGAUACCCCCGUAGUCC
rnacentral:rRNA from 1 species